GGGCCCGUAGCUCAGCGGCAGAGCGGUCGCCUUAUAAGCGACAUGUGGAAGGUUCGACUCCUUCCGGGCCUA
rnacentral:tRNA from 1 species